UACGUAGGGUGCGAGCGUUGUCCGGAAUUACUGGGCGUAAAGGGCUCGUAGGCGGCCAACUAAGUCAUACGUGAAAUCCCUCGGCUUAACCGGGGAACUGCGUCUGAUACUGGAUGGCUUGAGUUCGGGAGAGGGAUGCGGAAUUCCAGGUGUAGCGGUGAAAUGCGUAGAUAUCUGGAGGAACACCGGUGGCGAAGGCGGCAUCCUGGACCGAUACUGACGCUGAGGAGCGAAAGCCAGGGGAGCAAAGCGGGG
rnacentral:rRNA from 1 species